AGAGUUUGAUCAUGGCUCAGAUUGAACGCUGGCGGCAUUUACACAUGCAAGUCGAACGCGAAAGCNNNGACCCGCGAGUAGAGUGGCGAACGGGUGAGUAAUACAUCGGAACGCGCCCUUUAGUGGGGGACAACGCCGAGAAAUCGGCGCUAAUACCGCAUACGCCCGAAAGGGGAAAGCGGGGGACCGCAAGGCCUCGCGCUGUUGGAGCGGCCGAUGCCCGAUUAGCUAGUUGGUGGGGUAAUGGCCCACCAAGGCUACGAUCGGUAGCUGGUCUGAGAGGAUGAUCAGCCACACUGGGACUGAGACACGGCCCAGACUCCUACGGGAGGCAGCAGUGGGGAAUUUUGGACAAUGGGGGCAACCCUGAUCCAGCCAUGCCGCGUGAGUGAAGAAGGCCUUCGGGUUGUAAAGCUCUUUCGGCCGGAACGAAAUCGCGCGGGCGAACAAUCCGCGUGGAUGACGGUACCGGAAUAAGAAGCACCGGCUAACUACGUGCCAGCAGCCGCGGUAAUACGUAGGGUGCAAGCGUUAAUCGGAAUUACUGGGCGUAAAGCGUGCGCAGGCGGUCGCGUAAGCCAGAUGUGAAAGCCCCGGGCUUAACCUGGGAAUUGCAUUUGGUACUGCGUGGCUAGAGUGCGGCAGAGGGAGGUGGAAUUCCUGGUGUAGCAGUGAAAUGCGUAGAGAUCAGGAGGAACACCGAUGGCGAAGGCAGCCUCCUGGGCCAGCACUGACGCUCAUGCACGAAAGCGUGGGGAGCAAACAGGAUUAGAUACCCUAGUAGUCC
rnacentral:rRNA from 1 species